rnacentral:rRNA from 1 species
UACGGAGGGGGCUAGCGUUGUUCGGAAUUACUGGGCGUAAAGCGCACGUAGGCGGAUUGAAAAGUUGGGGGUGAAAUCCCGGGGCUCAACCUCGGAACUGCCUCCAAAACUAUCAGUCUUGAGUUCGAGUGAGGUGAGUGGAACUCCGAGUGUAGAGGUGAAAUUCGUAGAUAUUCGGAGGAACACCAGUGGCGAAGGCGGCUCACUGGCUCGAUACUGACGCUGAGGUGCGAAAGCGUGGGGAGCAGACAGG